AUGCACACAAAGGGGAUCUUUUCCUCAGUCUGGACAAUGAGUCUGGAAUUCCCUGCCAUCAACUGUGCUUUGCUGGAAGCCAAGGUCCACGGGGCGGCUUGCUGCUUUAUCCAGUCUUUUCCAAUUAUCAGCAAAAAGGAAGUAAUCCCAUGAUGGAGGUCAAAUUGGCCCUUACCAAGUGGUCCAAAUGCUGUGCAUUUUGAGAUGAUGCAACCGAGGCUCAGGAAUUCAUACCAGUAGUCUGAAAGACUGGAUUAUUUGCACUUUACUGAAAUGAUGUGUGUCCUGUGUGUAUUUGGAACAACAUGCCUUCAGGAAACUUCGCCGGACUCAGCAGC